AUUGAACGCUGGCGGAAUGCUUUACACAUGCAAGUCGAGCGGCAGCACGGGGGCAACCCUGGUGGCGAGCGGCGAACGGGUGAGUAAUACAUCGGAACAUGCCCAGUCGUGGGGGAUAACACUUCGAAAGAAGUGCUAAUACCGCAUACGUCCUGAGGGGGAAAGCGGGGGAUCGCAAGACCUCGCGCGAUUGGAGUGGCCGAUGUCAGAUUAGCUAGUUGGUGGGGUAAAGGCCUACCAAGGCAACGAUCUGUAGCUGGUCUGAGAGGAUGAUCAGCCACACUGGGACUGAGACACGGCCCAGACUCCUACGGGAGGCAGCAGUGGGAAAUUUUGGACAAUGGGGGCAACCCUGAUCCAGCCAUUCCGCGUGAGUGAAGAAGGCCUUCGGGUUGUAAAGCUCUUUCGGCAGGAACGAAACGGUGAGCUCUAACAUAGCUUGCUAAUGACGGUACCUGAAGAAGAAGCACCGGCUAACUACGUG
rnacentral:rRNA from 1 species